AGGUUAAUCUGUCUCUAUUUUAUUUUUUAGAAAUUAAUUUUUAGAGUGAAAAAGCUUGUAUUUUUUAAAGGGACGAGAAGACCCUAUUGAGCUUGUAAUUUUAUUACUAUUGUUAAUAUUAUUUGAGUGGCAUAUAAAUUUUAAUUGGGGUGAUUAAGGAAUAAAAUGAUUUUUAGUAACUUCCUUAUACUUAAUAUUGUUAGAUAAAGUAACCAAUAUAUUAUUGCUUAUAUUAUAGUUACCAUAGGGAUAACAGCGUAAUUUGUUUAGAGAGUUCUUAUUGAAAAACAAGAUUGCGACCUCGAUGUUGGAUUAAAGUAACCUUAAGGUGCACAAGCUU
rnacentral:rRNA from 1 species